CUUGGCCUGGAGGUGUGUAACUAAAAUUAGAACCACCCCAUAGUUAAAGACGAAGCGCUUUUUACUUUAAAAAGACCUUAACUGGGUUUGUGGUUCACUGUACAGCGGUAUAAGACAAAAGAAGAAAAAAUUCGUUAUAAAUAGAAACUAUAUGUGGUUUUAAUUGGCUGGUUUACCAUACAGUCACUCAGCUGAGUUUACAAAAUUUGCGGUGCCUUUUUGCGAAACCCAACAAGGUCUUAAUCAAUUUUCCGCAAUUUUCCAAUCUUGGCACUCUUUUCUACUAAUUUUUCUACUUGAACUCAUUACCUUUUCUCAAAUCAACUGAUAAAAUCUACGUCAACUCUAUCAAAUGAUCUAUUUAUGUUGGUCAUUACAAACUUUGCAUCAUAUUUGAAAAAACCGCGUCAUUACUUUAUCCGACACCUGGUAGAGAAAUUUCGUACUACUCUAUCGUUGUCGUCUGCGUUUCGGACGGCUUGAGGAACGGUGUUGGAAUGAUUGGUCCAAGAACAGAAACUAGGUCUGAACUUCAUCUGUGAUUUAUCCCUCCUCCAAUGAAAGACGAUCAACAGGUACCUAGUUACCAAAACUUCUGCACGCAUAUCAGUGAGACCACAUUUCUGUUGUUUUUGUUUUCCCUAUCUGGACGACAUCGAGACCAGACUGGAAUGACUUUACCCCCUCCCAAAUGGACCUAUUGUCGUAUUCCAUUUUGCUCCGCGAAUAGAUCUGUAUCAACGAUUAAAACGCUUAAGUGUUCAGACCACUUCAGGCAUUUUUUUUUACAACGAAAGCAGUAACAUUCAGUCAAGUUGUUAACUGAGUUCAAAUCAGGAACAAAGACUCGAUAAUAUUCCAAAUCAUCAAGGCGUUGAUGUCAUAUGUUGAGACCAGCAGAUGGAGAAUCAAUGUUUGCUCAAUUAAAGUAGAGAACAAAAUAAGAAAUACAAUAUGGAUGAUGCUAAUUUUCAUUGGUGAAAGGAGUGGUGACCAAGUCAAGUUUCACCUGCUGCGUGCAAUCUACGCUGGUGUUGUCCUGAAGUGUGGAAGCGUUACUUGAAAUGUUACAGCAACUGAAGACUUCAGAAACGGAAGAUCUACGAUGCUGUCAUUUUUCCAACGUCCGGUUGAAGCCAUUCAGAGAAGGUCAUAACUCAUAAGGAACAUUACGUAAGUGUCAUGUGGUGGUGUAAGGUUGGGUGAGAAUUGAGAAAGACACGUGUUCAUCAUUAUCAAACCCAUCCCCAGCAACGUCAUCCUUCAGAAGGAAAGGCCAGUUU